GGACGAUAUGGGAGUGUAUGGUGAACUGACCCCUCAUUCUCCUCGCAAAAUUUUUUUCUUUUUCAAUUUUGUGCAUGAUGGUGCUAGGUACACUUUCAGGGCACGCACGCGUGCGGGGCAUCGUAGCUGGGACCUGAAGAUUACGCCGGUUGUCGCCCUGCUUCGGCAAGGAUUUUUGGUAGCACUGUAGCUGUGUUUUGAUGGAGGAGCGCGAUGUCUAAUGUCUAUCAUGAUGAACCCAACACGCAUCUCGACUCGCCAUCGUUGUGGCCGUUUGCAAUUUUAUGAUGUUUGGUUUGUAACAGGCUCGAAAGAGACGAAUGUUCUGAGUGUUCCCUUAUUUGUUCUUACAAAAGUUACGUCACUUUGGUGGUGGUGACCAUGAAUCACCCUUUCUUAUGGGUGUACGAGGUGUGCUCGAAACUGGACGAUGAUGAUUUCUCGUCCAUGACGGGAAUUCUGGGUGACCAAGACGUUGAAGUCUCACACAACGAGGAUAUCGAAAGAGGACAACAGUGCCCACAAUGUGCUUAUGAAAUGAUUGACUGCAAAAAAUGUUUAUGUUUUUAUAUGUAUCCUAUCUGUGUUAGUUCGCCAACUUUAAAGGAAAUCCAAUUGGGACCCUAUGCUUGACGAAGGUUUGCUAGUAAGGAUUAACGUGUAUACUCAUGGAGACCGCGAGUCGCUUGCGACCAGUCUUAGCGUCCGUGGAAGGAGGCCUCCUUCCCGGUGCGUGACAGAAAGGACAGAUAUGGAUCAUAUAGACCGAAAAUGGGAUGCGCAUUCACGUUUAUGAAAAUGAAAGAAAUAUUUUAGUAAGCGC
rnacentral:lncRNA from 1 species